GCAAGAUGACUGCAUUAAUAGCCAACGGAUGUGGACUCUUUGGACCACAAUGGCCAUUUGAUGACAUCCCAAGGGCAGUCACAAGGAAAGUUAAAGGA